rnacentral:siRNA from 1 species
UGAUCUGCACUUGUCCUACAUGAU